rnacentral:rRNA from 1 species
GCAAGUCGAACGAUGAAGCUGGAGCUUGCUCUGGUGGAUUAGUGGCGAACGGGUGAGUAACACGUGAGUAACCUGCCCUGGACUCUGGGAUAAGCGUUGGAAACGACGUCUAAUACCGGAUAGGACCUCGGAUCGCAUGAUCUGGGGUGGAAAGUUUUUCGGUCUGGGAUGGACUCGCGGCCUAUCAGCUUGUUGGUGAGGUAAUGGCUCACCAAGGCGUCGACGGGUAGCCGGCCUGAGAGGGUGACCGGCCACACUGGGACUGAGACACGGCCCAGACUCCUACGGGAGGCAGCAGUGGGGAAUAUUGCACAAUGGGCGCAAGCCUGAUGCAGCAACGCCGCGUGCGGGAUGACGGCCUUCGGGUUGUAAACCGCUUUUAGUAAGGAAGAAGGGGCUUCGGCCUUGACGGUACUUGCAGAAAAAGGACCGGCUAACUACGUGCCAGCAGCCGCGGUAAUACGUAGGGUCCGAGCGUUGUCCGGAAUUAUUGGGCGUAAAGAGCUCGUAGGCGGUUUGUCGCGUCUGCUGUGAAAACUAGAGGCUCAACCUCUAGCCUGCAGUGGGUACGGGCAGACUUGAGUGCGGUAGGGGAGAAUGGAAUUCCUGGUGUAGCGGUGGAAUGCGCAGAUAUCAGGAGGAACACCGAUGGCGAAGGCAGUUCUCUGGGCCGUAACUGACGCUGAGGAGCGAAAGCGUGGGGAGCGAACAGGAUUAGAUACCCUGGU